GUUUCCUGUAUUCUCGGCAGGAUGCGGUUUUUCAAGCGAGGUUUUGUGGAAAUGGAUAACAUGGUAGGGACCUAUUAGAAGUUUUGUGGAUGUGUCACCAAAACAGUUGUAAAUUAUUUUCUGCCAGGGUGAACUUUGUUUUUAUUUGUUUUUCCAUUUGCAGGGAAGAGAAAGUGAUGUUCUUCCUUACAUGUUAUAGGAGCUCCUCAUCCAAAUGGCGUGGGAAGAGGGCAGAACCUCCUAAGGAAAUUAUGUGGCAAGAAAUAACCAGGAAAUAGCAACAAAGAUGAGCUGCUCUCAAAGAUGAGAUUCUGAGUUUACACACAGAAUUGAUUUACAUGUGCAUGUUUAUUACUCGAUUUGAGAUUAGAAGUGGCGGAAGUGGGUUAAUUCUACAAGAAGAAGGAUGGAGAAAUGGUUGGAUCGUGGAAUGGUUGGCUUCCGACAGUGGUAAGGAGGAACAAUGGCAGUGGAAUUUUGAUGACUUUGCUCGGCCCAGGAGACAAACAGCCUUGAAUAGCCUGUUGUAUUUGGCUUUGACAAGUCAGAGUUCUGAAUGGGAGCAUAUUUAAAAAGUUGCACUAAAGAACUUGAAUAGGAAAAGAAUCUUUUUUUCCUCCCCAAGGGGACAGCCAAUUAGAUGGAAGUCUCCCCUUAAUGUUCUUAGGGAAGCUGAGUGCCCAUGGCUGCUAUUCUGUCAGUCCCAGGUUUCUCAGCGGGGCAAGGAAAAGCUAAUACCAGAACUUUGUUUCAAGAGCAAAUGCAGACAAUGGCAAGUAUCUGAAAUGUGGAAAUUACUUUCAAGUUGAAAGGGGAGAGGGAGUGGUUAUUUCUGCUCGUGGGCUGUUUGGCUGGGGAAAAUUUAACUUUUUCACUUCUAGGAGCCUCACAAGAGUUUGCAAAGUUUGGA